GCAUAUCAAUAAGCGGAGGAAAAGAAACCAACAGGGAUUGCCUUAGUAACGGCGAGUGAAGCGGCAAAAGCUCAAAUUUGAAAUCUGGCACCUUCGGUGUCCGAGUUGUAAUUUGAAGAAGGUAACUUUGGAGUUGGCUCUUGUCUAUGUUCCUUGGAACAGGACGUCACAGAGGGUGAGAAUCCCGUGCGAUGAGAUGCCCAAUUCUAUGUAAAGUGCUUUCGAAGAGUCGAGUUGUUUGGGAAUGCAGCUCUAAGUGGGUGGUAAAUUCCAUCUAAAGCUAAAUAUUGGCGAGAGACCGAUAGCGAACAAGUACAGUGAUGGAAAGAUGAAAAGAACUUUGAAAAGAGAGUGAAAAAGUACGUGAAAUUGUUGAAAGGGAAGGGCUUGAGAUCAGACUUGGUAUUUUGCGAUCCUUUCCUUUUUGGUUGGGUUCUCCGCAGCUUACUGGGCCAGCAUCGGUUUGGACGGUAGGAUAAUGAUUAAGGAAUGUGGCUCUGCUUCGGUGGAGUGUUAUAGCCUUGGUUGAUGCUGCCUGUCUAGACCGAGGACUGCGUCUUUUGACUAGGAUGUUGGCAUAAUGAUCUUAAGCCACCCGUCUUGAAACACGGACC
rnacentral:rRNA from 1 species